ACGAACGCUGGCGGCGCGCCUAACACAUGCAAGUCGAACGAGAGAUGAGGAGCUUGCUCUUCAAAUCGAGUGGCGAACGGGUGAGUAACGCGUGAGGAACCUGCCUCAAAGAGGGGGACAACAGUUGGAAACGACUGCUAAUACCGCAUAAGCCCACGGCUCGGCAUCGAGCAGAGGGAAAAGGAGUGAUCCGCUUUGAGAUGGCCUCGCGUCCGAUUAGCUGGUUGGUGAGGUAACGGCCCACCAAGGCGACGAUCGGUAGCCGGACUGAGAGGUUGAACGGCCACAUUGGGACUGAGACACGGCCCAGACUCCUACGGGAGGCAGCAGUGGGGAAUAUUGCACAAUGGGGGAAACCCUGAUGCAGCGACGCCGCGUGGAGGAAGAAGGUCUUCGGAUUGUAAACUCCUGUUGUUGAGGAAGAUAAUGACGGUACUCAACAAGGAAGUGACGGCUAACUACGUGCCAGCAGCCGCGGUAAAACGUAGGUCACAAGCGUUGUCCGGAAUUACUGGGUGUAAAGGGAGCGCAGGCGGGAGAACAAGUUGGAAGUGAAAUCCAUGGGCUCAACCCAUGAACUGCUUUCAAAACUGUUUUUCUUGAGUAGUGCAGAGGUAGGCGGAAUGCCCGGUGUAGAGGUGGAAUGAUUAGCUAUAGGGAGGUACACCAGGGGCGAAGGCGGCCUACUGGGCACCAACUGACGCUGAGGCUCGAAAGUGUGGGUAGCAAACAGGAUUAGAUACCCUGGUAGUCCACACCGUAAACGAUGAUUACUAGGUGUUGGAGGAUUGACCCCUUCAGUGCCGCAGUUAACACAAUAAGUAAUCCACCUGGGGAGUACGACCGCAAGGUUGAAACUCAAAGGAAUUGACGGGGGCCCGCACAAGCAGUGGAGUAUGUGGUUUAAUUCGAAGCAACGCGAAGAACCUUACCAAGUCUUGACAUCCUUCUGACCGGUACUUAAUCGUACCUUCUCUUCGGAGCAGGAGUGACAGGUGGUGCAUGGUUGUCGUCAGCUCGUGUCGUGAGAUGUUGGGUUAAGUCCCGCAACGAGCGCAACCCUUAUGGUCAGUUACUACGCAAGAGGACUCUGGCCAGACUGCCGUUGACAAAACGGAGGAAGGUGGGGAUGACGUCAAAUCAUCAUGCCCUUUAUGACUUGGGCUACACACGUACUACAAUGGCGUUAAACAAAGAGAAGCAAGACCGCGAGGUGGAGCAAAACUCAGAAACAACGUCCCAGUUCGGACUGCAGGCUGCAACUCGCCUGCACGAAGUCGGAAUUGCUAGUAAUCGUGGAUCAGCAUGCCACGGUGAAUACGUUCCCGGGCCUUGUACACACCGCCCGUCACACCAUGAGAGCCGGGGGGACCCGAAGUCGGUAGUCUAACCGCAAGGAGGACGCCGCCGAAGGUAAAACUGGUGAUUGGGGUG
rnacentral:rRNA from 1 species